rnacentral:lncRNA from 1 species
UACUUCAGACUUUAACUGGAAAUCAGUGAAAAGAAAACAGUCUGUAUUAAGAAGCCAUAUCUGGAUAAACUCAAACAGAUCCCAAGACAGAGCAGAAGGUCCUUAUUGGCUGUCCCCUGCUGACAACAGACAGAUCUUUUGGUGAUACCUGCACCAUCAGAAGCCUGGCACCAGCCUUAUGACUUGGCAGAUCAUGAGAUGAGCCAGAGAAACCCUCUGGAAAUCUUGGAUUCCUUCGCUGCUUAGCAAAGCCAGCAAAGUUAUUUUUUAGCCAUCAGAGACCAGGAAGGACAGAAGUCUGCCAAGAAACCCCUGUUAUGCUGCAUACCAGGCUGCAAAAUAGCUGUUUAAUAGGGAUGAACAAGGGCUGAUUGCAACAGCUUAUCGAUAUUACAGCUAAAUCCACUAACCACCAAGGUAUUCUUCUUACUUAU